UGAGUAAGUGAAAUGGUCGCGGCCGCAAGGCUGAGGAAAGUCCGGGCUCCAUAGGGCAGGAUGCUUGCUAACGGCAAGUGAGGGUGACCUUAAGGAAAGUGCCACAGAAAACAAACCGCCGAUGCUUUGGCAAAGGUAAGGAUGAAACGGUGCGGUAAGAGCGCACCAGCGGCAAGGUGACUUGUCGGCUUGGUAAACCCCAUCUGGUGCAAGACUUAAUAGGAGACUUUGUGGAGUUGCCCGCUCCGUCUCGGGUAAGUCGCUAGAGAUUCCAGGCAACUGGGAUUCGAGAUAGAUGACCAUUCAACGACAGAACCCGGCUUACGGCUUAGUCAGUCA
rnacentral:RNase_P_RNA from 1 species